rnacentral:rRNA from 1 species
CCCGCGUGGGGGAUGAAUGGCUUCGGCCCGUAAACCCCUGUCAUUUGCGAACAAACCCUGCAGUUUACGAGAUGGCAGGCUGAUCGUAGCAGAAGAGGAAGGGACGGCUAACUCUGUGCCAGCAGCCGCGGUAAUCAGAGGUCCCAAGCGUUGUCGGAUCACUGGGCGUAAAGGAUGCGUAGGCGGCGAGGUAAGUUUGAGGUGAAAUCUCCGGGCUCAACCCGGAAGCGGCCUUGAAGACUAUCUUGCUAGAGGAUCGGAGGGGAGAUCGGAAUUCUCGGUGUAGCAGUGAAAUGCGUAGAUAUCGAGAGGAACACCAGUGGCGAAGGCGGAUCUCUGGACGAAACCUGACGCUGAGGCACGAAAGCCAGGGGAGCAAACGGGAUUAGAUACCCCGGUAGUCCUGGCCCUAAACGGUGCGCACUUGCUGUAGGCGGAAUCGACCCCGUCUGUGGCGAAGGAAACCCGAUAAGUGCGCCGCCUGGGGAGUACGGUCGCAAGAUUAAAACUCAAAGAAAUUGACGGGGGCCUGCACAAGCGGUGGAGUAUGUGGCUUAAUUCGAUGCAACGCGAAGAACCUUACCUGGCCUUGACAUGCAUGUGGUAGGACCGUGAAAGCGGGAACGAACUCGCAAGAGGAGCAUGCCCAGGGUGCUGCAUGGGUGUCGUCAGCUCGUGGUCGUG